ensembl:lncRNA
CUGUACUCAUUGUACAAGGUAGAUGCAGUUUGCCAAGUUGUUAGUUCAGCUAGUGAAAUGACAGUAGAAAGAAAUGACUCUUUGAGGUUAAGGAUCCAGAGCAAGAAGAAGAGACAUUCUUGCUUACACUAAAGGUGAAACCUCGCCUUGAAAUCUUUGUGUGUUCCAGAUUGAACUACUUCCUGAAAAGAAGACCUCUAUCCACCAUCUGUUGGAUGUCUCAAAGAUGUUGCUAUGAGCACAUGCUGUGUUUCCUCCCUCUGGUCCUGAAAUGUUAACAGAUUUCUACGCAAUACGUGCUUUGACUCCAGGAGACUACAAGAGAUGCAGGGAACCAAGAGAACUUUGCAUUUUUGAAUUACAUUAAGGUUAAUGCUCAUUAAUUAAAUUAGUUUUCCGAAAUA